GAAGAACAAGAACCAUCAACCACCAGUUCAGGAUGAAGAGGGAGCCCAGGGAGGAAUGAAGGCAGGAGACUGCGAUUAUCACUUCAUGUUUCCAUCAUGUCUUACCAAAGUUCUUCCAUGUCUCUGUAGCCCAUCUCAGCGCCACUGACACAGAUCCUGGCAGGGCAAGAUGGUGUUACCAUGGUUACUGAAAACUAGGAAGAUCCCCGUCAUGCUUCCUGUGCUCCCCCCCUCCCGUAGCCCCCUCAGGCAUAGCUCAGGAACCGGAGUGGUGAUCUCUGGAUACAGCGGCACACGCGUACAGAGAAAAAGAAACAUGAAUGCCAUGUCCUCUGGACUACAGACGAGAGGGACAGCACUCAGUGCAAAAGCCUGCAUCUCUGAAUGUAUGGGGGUGCAUUAGUGUCUAUGGAACAGAUAUCUGGAGACCAUCAAUGCUAAAAGACAUCAAGAAGAGCAUCCAAAGCUUCUAUUAGCAGGUUCAGCGACUCAGUCCAGUGCACACAGUACUAAACUGUAGGUGGAUUUUCUCUUGCUGUGGGAAUCAGUGGACCGAUCGCCCUGUGCUCAGCCUUGCCCAAACACACUCACAACAAGAGCCUGUCAGCUAAAUCAAGAUGAACCCUGGCCUUUAAGAGAGGCUGUGGGAAGAGGAAGAAUAGCAACGCUCAUUAAAAUGAUUUGCCCCACCUACACUUUAAGGCCA